GAUGAACGCUGGCGGCGUGCCUAAUACAUGCAAGUCGAGCGAACAGAUGAGGAGCUUGCUCCUCUGACGUUAGCGGCGGACGGGUGAGUAACACGUGGAUAACCUACCUAUAAGACUGGGAUAACUUCGGGAAACCGGAUCUAAUACCGGAUAAUAUAUUGAACCGCAUGGUUCAAUAGUGAAAGACGGUUUUGCUGUCACUAAUAGAUGGAUCCGCGCCGCAUUAGCUAGUUGGUAAGGUAACGGCUUACCAAGGCAACGAUGCGUAGCCGACCUGAGAGGGUGAUCAGCCACACUGGAACUGAGACACGGUCCAGACUCCUACGGGAGGCAGCAGUAGGGAAUCUUCCGCAAUGGGCGAAAGCCUGACGGAGCAACGCCGCGUGAGUGAUGAAGGUCUUCGGAUCGUAAAGCUCUGUUAUUAGGAAAGAACAAAUGUGUAAGUAACUAUGCACGUCUUGACGGUACCUAAUCAGAAAGCCACGGCUAACUACGUG
rnacentral:rRNA from 1 species